rnacentral:rRNA from 1 species
GACGAACGCUGGCGGCGUGCUUAACACAUGCAAGUCGAACGGAAAGGCCCUGCUUUUGUGGGGUGCUCGAGUGGCGAACGGGUGAGUAACACGUGAGUAACCUGCCCUUGACUUUGGGAUAACUUCAGGAAACUGGGGCUAAUACCGGAUAGGAGCUCCUGCUGCAUGGUGGGGGUUGGAAAGUUUCGGCGGUUGGGGAUGGACUCGCGGCUUAUCAGCGUGUUGGUGGGGUAGUGGCUUACCAAGGCUUUGACGGGUAGCCGGCCUGGGAGGGUGACCGGCCACAUUGGGACUGAGAUACGGCCCAGACUCCUACGGGAGGCAGCAGUGGGGAAUAUUGCACAAUGGGCGGACGCCUGAUGCAGCAACGCCGCGUGCGGGAUGACUGCCUUCGGGUUGUAACCCGCUUUCGCCUGUGACGAAGCGUGAGUGACGGUAAUGGGUAAAGAAGCACCGGCUAACUACGUG